rnacentral:rRNA from 1 species
CUACGUGCCAGCAGCCGCGGUAAUACGUAGGUGGCAAGCGUUGUCCGGAUUUAUUGGGCGUAAAGCGAGCGCAGGCGGUUCCUUAAGUCUGAUGUGAAAGCCCCCGGCUCAACCGGGGAGGGUCAUUGGAAACUGGGGAACUUGAGUGCAGAAGAGGAGAGUGGAAUUCCAUGUGUAGCGGUGAAAUGCGUAGAUAUAUGGAGGAACACCAGUGGCGAAGGCGACUCUCUGGUCUGUAACUGACGCUGAGGCUCGAAAGCGUGGGUAGCAAACAAGAUUAGAUACCCUGGUAGUCCACGCCGUAAACGAUGAGUGCUAAGUGUUGGAGGGUUUCCGCCCUUCAGUGCUGCAGUUAACGCAUUAAGCACUCCGCCUGGGGAGUACGACCGCAAGGUUGAAACUCAAAGGAAUUGACGGGGGCCCGCACAAGCGGUGGAGCAUGUGGUUUAAUUCGAAGCAACGCGAAGAACCUUACCAGGUCU